UGGGGGAUAACUGCCCGAAAGGGCAGCUAAUACCGCAUGAACCGAGGUGAAAGCGGGGGAUCGCAAGACCUCGCGCGGAAACGGCGAUGUCCGAUUAGCUAGUUGGUGAGGUAAAGGCUCACCAAGGCGACGAUCGGUAGCUGGUCUGAGAGGACGACCAGCCACACUGGGACUGAGACACGGCCCAGACUCCUACGGGAGGCAGCAGUGGGGAAUUUUGGACAAUGGGGGCAACCCUGAUCCAGCCAUGCCGCGUGCAGGAUGAAGGUCUUCGGAUUGUAAACUGCUUUUGUCAGGGACGAAAAGGGAUGCGAUAACACCGCAUUCCGCUGACGGUACCUGAAGAAUAAGCACCGGCUAACUACGUGCCAGCAGCCGCGGUAAUACGUAGGGUGCAAGCGUUAAUCGGAAUUACUGGGCGUAAAGCGUGCGCAGGCGGUUCUGUAAGAUAGAUGUGAAAUCCCCGGGCUCAACCUGGGAAUUGCAUAUAUGACUGCAGGACUUGAGUUUGUCAGAGGAGGGUGGAAUUCCACGUGUAGCAGUGAAAUGCGUAGAUAUGUGGAAGAACACCGAUGGCGAAGGCAGCCCUCUGGGACAUGA
rnacentral:rRNA from 1 species